AAAAAGACAAAUCCUAUGUUUUCGUGUCCAACGUUUAACUGUCCGUCUUAUAUGAAAUUUUUUUAUAAUUAGUAUUUUCAUUUUUGUUAGAUGAAAAACAUGAUUAAUACUUUAUGCGUGACUUGUCUUUUUAAUUUUUUUUAUAAUUUUUUCAAAUAAGACAAAUGGUUAAAUAUUGGAUACGGAAACCCAUGGUUUGUCUUUUU
rfam:Oryza nivara chromosome 7, whole genome shotgun sequence.